rnacentral:piRNA from 1 species
UUCUUGAGACAUAUGUAGUAGGGUUUUGUC